UGCCCAUUACUAUAAUUAGUAUUCAGUCAUAAUAAAUUAAUGGCAUCAAGAUGGAGAUCAGUAAGAGUAUUGAUACUAUUUUUAAAUAAGACCAUUCAUUAUUUUUUGUCGACGGCAAAGCAUUUCCUGCCAUUUCUUUCCUUUGUCCUUACAUUGAAUUCAAACAUUUUUUUCUUUAUUUAGCCUGACCAAUUUAAUGUCUACUUUCACGUUACUUCCUUGUAUAGAGUUUUCUUCUUUUUUUUUUUUUCUUCGUAUAUCUUUGUACUUUUUAAAAAUAAAUUGGGAAAAUAUAGAUCUACAUUUCCAAAUUAUACUUCAAAAAGCGUGUAAACUAUAAAAGAAGUGAAGGACAGAAUAUUCUCCUAUUUGCCUGAUGUUUUUACUACAUUUAUACCUAGGAAAACUAGGCAAGUUUUUUGUAGCAUCAUACAUCUACAAACGUAUCAAUUUGUACAUACAAGCUUUUGCUAACCACAGAUUACUACAGUUUAUGGAAAAACAAUGUUCAAAUCAAUUUAUUGUAAAACAAAAAUGUGACCCUUUUCUAUUUAAAUAAAU
rnacentral:lncRNA from 1 species